GGGGGAAGUGGCGAAAGGGGCAGUAAGGUGUAGGUAACCUGCCCUGGAGUUUCGGAUAGCCGUUCUAACGAACGGGUAAUACGAAAUGCCGUACCGAGGGGGGAUCCCCAUGGUACGAAAGCUUCGGCGCUCCGGGAGGGGCUUACAUGGUAUUAGCUAGUUGGUGAGGUAACGGCUCACCAAGGCCGAGAUGCCUAGCGGGUGUGAGAGCACGACCCGCGCCACUGGCACUGUGACACUGGCCAGACUCCUACGGGAGGCUGCAGUCGAGGAUCUUCGGCAAUGGGGGAAACCCUGACCGAGCGACGCCGCGUGUGCGAUGAAGGCCUUCGGGUUGUAAAGCACUGUCGAGGGGGAGAAAAGCCGCAAGGUGUGAUCGACCCCUGGAGGAAGGACGGGCUAAGUUCGUGCCAGCAGCCGCGGUAAGACGAACCGUCCGAACGUUAUUCGGAAUCACUGGGCUUAAAGGGCGCGUAGGCGGGAUCGUAAGUCAGGGGUGAAAUCCCACGGCUCAACCGUGGAAGUGCCUUUGAUACUGCGGACCUCGAGGUGGGCAGGGGCGUGCGGAACUUCCGGUGGAGCGGUGAAAUGCGUAGAUAUCGGAAGGAACACCGGUGGCGAAAGCGGCACGCUGGGCCCGUACUGACGCUGAGGCGCGAAAGCCAGGGUAGCAAACGGGAUUAGAUACCCCGGUAGUCCUGGCCCUAAACGAUGGGCACUAGGUAGCGGACUUACAUGGGUUCGCUGCCGGAGUAAAAAUGUUAAGUGCCCCGCCUGGGGAGUAUGGUCGCAAGGCUGAAACUCAAAGGAAUUGACGGGGGCUCACACAAGCGGUGGAGCAUGUGGCUUAAUUCGAGGCUACGCGAAGAACCUUAUCCUGGACUUGACAUAUGCGAAAGCGAGCGGAGUAGGAAAUCGAAAGACGUACGAACGGUAACCAGCCCGGAACGCUUACAGGUGCUGCAUGGCUGUCGUCAGCUCGUGUCGUGAGAUGUCGGGUUAAGUCCCAUAACGAGCGCAACCCCUGUCUCCAGUUGCCAGCGAGUAAAGUCGGGGACUCUGGAGAUACUGCCGGUGUUAAACCGGAGGAAGGUGGGGAUGACGUCAAGUCCUCAUGGCCUUUAUGUCCAGGGCUGCACACGUGCUACAAUGGCGUAUACAAAGGGACGCGAAACCGCGAGGUCAAGCAAAUCCCAAAAAAUACGCCCCAGUUCAGAUCGAAGGCUGCAACUCGCCUUCGUGAAGUUGGAAUCGCUAGUAAUCGCGGGUCAGCAACACCGCGGUGAAUGUGUUCCUGAGCCUUGUACACACCGCCCGUCAAGCCACGAAAGGGAGGGGGGGGCCAAGCCGCC
rnacentral:rRNA from 1 species